rnacentral:rRNA from 1 species
CAGUCGCCGCGGUAAUACGGAGGGUGCAAGCGUUAUCCGGAUUUAUUGGGUUUAAAGGGUCCGUAGGCGGAUCUGUAAGUCAGUGGUGAAAUCUCACAGCUUAACUGUGAAACUGCCAUUGAUACUGCAGGUCUUGAGUAAAUUUGAAGUGGCUGGAAUAAGUAGUGUAACGGUGAAAUGCAUAGAUAUUACUUAGAACACCAAUUGCGAAGGCAGGUCACUAAGAUUUAACUGACGCUGAUGGACGAAAGCGUGGGGAGCGAACAGGAUUAGAGACCCCUGUAGUCCCUGUCUCUUAUAC